rnacentral:rRNA from 1 species
UACAGAGGGUGCAAGCGUUAAUCGGAAUUACUGGGCGUAAAGCGUGCGUAGACGGUUACAUAAGUCGGAUGUGAAAUCCCCGGGCUCAACCUGGGAAUGGCAUUCGAGACUGCGUAGCUAGGGUGCGGAAGAGGGAAGCGGAAUUUCCGGUGUAGCGGUGAAAUGCGUAGAGAUCCGGAGGAACACCGACGGCGCAGGCAGCGUCCUGGCCGCUUGCUGACACUGAGGCACGAAAGCUGGGGGAGCAAACAGG